rnacentral:lncRNA from 1 species
CCAUUCAAUAUCUGAUGGAAAGCAUCGCCAGGCUGGGCCGGUUGAGGGAACAGCAUCGCCUGCUUCAUUGAAGGGUUUGCGAGUAAUCUCUGUUUUCUUAAGAUUACCUCUAUCGGUAUUGAUGUGAGGAUUGUGUCCAACUUUGGCACAUCCUCCUCAGCCACAAAUACACCGAUCUCCUCCCAUGGUAUUGCAUCUGCAAAUGGAAGCACUAUAUCAUCUGCUAUGACAACAGGGAUGCAGCCAAACACCACUGCUUCUACCAAUCUAGGACUCCAUGGAGCCCAACCCAAGGGGCACAGGCAGAAAACUGCCCGCUGCAUAUCUUCAUAAUAAGUAGUAGGGUGGUCGGUAGAGAUGUCAAAAAGAGGGUUGUUCUUAAAAUUCUCCCACACCGAUGCCCUUGCACCUCUGCAUAUCAGAAAUCAUCAAGACUCAUUAAAUUUCAGCCAUCUGAAAAUUUUGUUCAGUCAACAUUCAGAUUCAAUCGCACUGGCGAUUUCUGAGUACAAGAAAUCUAAGCUUCCUGAUAUUAUGGAAUCUUACCUUGCGUAGUAUCCACCCUCUGGAUCGUUCCCUACAUCAUAAAAUAAACCACGGAAAUAAACAAAAAUAGAGCGAGGAGUAUCUGGAGGAAUCAAAUGAGUCUGCAUUUUCUGGGGGGGUGCAUAUGGGGGAAUGGUGAUGGAACCGUCCUUCAAGCAAACAUGAUUUCUCUGCCCAAAGGUUUGAACCAGCGUGGCACGCUUAAGCAUGUGCAGGAUUCCACGUUCAAUUGCUUUUUCUUCCUAUGGCAUCAUAAAAUAGUCAUUACAAGAGGAAACAAAGAAAGUAGGUAAAAACAGAAGAAACAAAUACAUCACAAAAAGGAGGCAGAAAUUGCUUGACCAUUAACGAAUGCUC